UACGUAGGUGACAAGCGUUGUCCGGAUUUACUGGGCGUAAAGAGCGCGCAGGCGGUCGUUCAAGUCGAGUGUGAAAGCUCCCGGCUCAACUGGGGAGGGUCACUCGAUACUGAUCGACUCGAAGGCAGGAGAGGGUAGUGGAAUUCCCGGUGUAGUGGUGAAAUGCGUAGAUAUCGGGAGGAACACCAGUGGCGAAGGCGACUACCUGGCCUGUUCUUGACGCUGAGGCGCGAAAGCUAGGGGAGCAAACGGG
rnacentral:rRNA from 1 species